AUCAAAAAAGGCUACUAAAUAUUUAGCAGCCUUUUUUG
rnacentral:sRNA from 1 species